UCUUUUCUCCUUCUCUCUCCUCCCGCACGCUCUUUCUUUCUCCUCUGCGCAUUUUCUCUCUCUCCUCUGCAACUCCGUUUGCUUUCUCUUUCCGACCACCAAAAAGCGUCAAAUCGGUGGCUACGGACUUGUCUUGACCUCCUCUUGGCCCCUACGGUGGUGGCUCACGGCGGCUUGGUCGGAAAACGACGUAUCGGGUCCUUGAAGUUUACUGUAGCAGGUGACCGUUGACCUAAAUUCCGGCCACCUCUGGCGACAAAGUCAGGCUUUUUAGAAGCGUCUUGAGGCGUACUUGAAUCUCCCCAAAUAUCUUGAAGCGAUUUGCAGCGUGGAGGAAGAAAGCAUAAUUAGAAAAUUUUACUCUACUUCGGUUUGCUUAAUUGUUCGGCCACUUAGAGGUAUUUUCUGACUUGGCCACAGUUAUGAAAGAUUCUUAGAAUAUUGAGUUGUUGAUGCUGGUAAAAUUUGGUAGCCAGAUAUGGUGGUUGACCGGCGGCUCGUGGGCCAAGCGCAGUUGCCUGUGGCAGCGCAUGAGGGCACGUCCGGCCGAUCCUGGGCGACGUACCGAGCUAUUGCUCGACAAAGGAACUCGUAUGCAUGGUCGCCUAAAUAGUACUGGGUUAUUGUGCAGGUCGGAGUUACAGUCGUCGAAGCUGAAGUUUUAUAGUUGUUGUAGCUUGGACGUAGAAGUGUAUUUUGUUUUAGUCUUCUGCUGUGUAGAGAUUUGGUGAGCCGGUUCACUAAUUGAAUUGUUGUUCAAUUUAAUUUGUAAACACUC